GACGAACGCUGGCGGCGUGCCUAAUACAUGCAAGUCGAACGCAGUGGGGACGGGUGAGUAACACGUGGGUAACCUCCCAUCAGAGGGGAUAACACUUGGAAACAGGUGCUAAACCGAUACUGAUGGAUGGACCCGCGGUACAUUAGCUAGUUGGUGAGGUAACGGCUCACCAAGGCCACGAUGCAUAGCCGACCGGAGAGGGUGAGAAGCCACACUGGGACGGAGACACGGCCCGGACCCGUACGGGAGGCAGCAGUAGGGAAUGGUCGGCAAUGGACGAAAGUCUGACCGAGCAACGCCGAGUGAGUGAAGAAGGUUUGCGGAUCGUAAAACUCUGUUGUUAGAGAAGCGGUAUCUAACCAGAAAGCAACGGCUAACUACGUGCCAGCAGCCGCGGUAAUAC
rnacentral:rRNA from 1 species